AUUUGCUGCUUAAAAGGUUGCACUGAAGUGGGUUCUUGCAGAUAAUCUCUCUUCAUUUCAUCAUUAUGUCCUUCUCUUUCAAAAGAUUAUCUAUCUCUGGAAUUUAUCCUUUAAAAAAUAAUCAUAAAGAGAGGAAAAGGAAAAAAGUUACCCAUGAUGCUUGUUGCGAGAGCCCAAGGGACGAAACAGCGCUCUCUCUCCCCAUCAAUAACCUGAACUUUCAAACAUGUAGGAAUAGUUAAGGAUUCCUUCUGGACUAUUUUAAGGAGCAAAUUUAUUAGUUCUAUAGCAUCUCAUAAUCCUGAGGUAUUUAGAAAAACUACAUUCUUUGGAUUCUGAAACGCUGGCUGUUUCCCUGAGCUACUUCGAACAAUGCAGCUUCUGCUGACGGGGCACUCCGUGGGCAGCGGUGUUGUUGAAUUCUGAGAGUCCACGGUGUGAUAGAAGCAGCCUCUCCUGCAGGUACAGCUUGCUGUAGUCAGAUGCAUAUUCUACCGUCAAUCCAACACCAAACAAAGUUCACUCUCCAGAAAGAGAAGAUCAGAGUAUUCACCACGAAGAAUCGAAUGGAUCUCAACCACCUUGGAGAACAACAGGGGGAAGCUGAUGAGAACACUCCGUUUUGGCAGCCCACAGCAGCCACCUGAGGUUCUCUGGUUCUCAUCACAUCCCCCGCCCAGCAAAGAGACCAGAGCAUGGCUGUCUGCAGACAUGUGGUACCCACUUCCCACAAACACCAAAGUGAGACCUGCUGCUUAGACAACACAGAUAAGGUUAAAAUCAAACCCUUGAGGUCAGCCAGCCAUCAGUGAGUCCUAGUUCUGACCCUGAUCACCUGUGGGACCUUGAGCAAGCUACUUAACUUCUCAGAGCCUCAAUUUCCUCAUCUGUAAAAUGGGAAUAACCUACUCACAAAGCAGUCAGCAGACUUUCUACUCACUUAUGUGCUCAAUGAAUGUUAGCUAGCUAUUCUUAUUACUUCCAGGAGACAAGAGCCUAGAAGGGUGUGUGUUUGACUCUCGUUUGUAUUUUCCAUACUUAACAAAGUGCCUUGCCCAGAGAUGCGACUGAGUGCAGUUUUUACUAAAUGAAUUCUGGCUGCCCUCUGUAGCUGGCUGGUGGUAACUAUAGACACAGUUUAGGAUGGACCUGAGUAUGGAAAGGAACGGGAUUGGUGAAGGCCAGUUUGUCCUCACUGACCUACGUUAUCAAUGGGUUGGGGUUUGCUUUCUCUCUGGAAGAUGCCUCAUUUCCUUUCUAUGGAUUCCCUUUGUAGUUGCUCAGCACUUCUCUGACUCAUGAUAAUAAAUUCCAGAUUCUCCAAGUUGGGUCUUGUGUGUCUUUGCAUCCAACUCCUCACCAGCUUCAAUGGCCCAUGAGCAAUUAACUGUGACACUCUCCC
ensembl:lncRNA